UAACAAGGUCUCCGUUGGUGAACCAGCGGAGGGAUCAUUACUGAGUUUACGCUCUACAACCCUUUGUGAACAUACCUAUAACUGUUGCUUCGGCGGGUAGGGUCCCCGUGACCCUCCCGGCCUCCCGCCCCCGGGCGGGUCGGCGCCCGCCGGAGGAUAACCAAACUCUGAUUUAACGACGUUUCUUCUGAGUGGUACAAGCAAAUAAUCAAAACUUUUAACAACGGAUCUCUUGGUUCUGGCAUCGAUGAAGAACGCAGCGAAAUGCGAUAAGUAAUGUGAAUUGCAGAAUUCAGUGAAUCAUCGAAUCUUUGAACGCACAUUGCGCCCGCCAGCAUUCUGGCGGGCAUGCCUGUUCGAGCGUCAUUUCAACCCUCAAGCUCUGCUUGGUGUUGGGGCCCUACAGCUGAUGUAGGCCCUCAAAGGUAGUGGCGGACCCUCCCGGAGCCUCCUUUGCGUAGUAACUUUACGUCUCGCACUGGGAUCCGGAGGGACUCUUGCCGUAAAACCCCCCAAUUUUCCAAAGGUUGACCUCGGAUCAGGUAGGAAUACCCGC
rnacentral:rRNA from 1 species